rnacentral:lncRNA from 9 species
AUGCAACCUUUCACAACUCAUUUUCUAAAACGAUAUCAUAAAAGCAGCAGAGUGAGCAAAUCUAUGCACAUCUGUACUGCAGGAGACAUCCUACUGUCUGCUGCCACACAGAAGAGCCGGAGUCCCAGCGCCUGUUCAAGAUCUUCCUGGAAGGGCGGUCCUGACGAUGUCAUUAAGGGGCUCGAAAAAAGAUGCGGCUCCAGAGCAGCCUCGCCCAACCUAGAGGUGGAGAGGCUACCUUGGUUGCCGGUGAAAUUCGCAUUGGGUUUGUUCCCUUCACCGGUGUCAUCUGAGCCCCUUGUACCUUACCUUCUGCUGUCUGCACCUGUAACCCAAAGACAUCCCAGGGACAGUGACGGUGUGCACUCCAGUUCUCUAGGUUCUGGCAGACUCUGUGCCCACAUCAUGAUGUCUGAGUGCUCAUCACAUCAGAACAGCCAGAUCUUAGGGUUUUUUACAACUCUAACGGCUCUGCUGGGUAGGUGCAUCUAUUAAUAUCCACUUUCACUGGUGCGUAUAGACAGACUCUCAAAUUAAGUUCUGACAGAGCAGUCUGAAAUGGUGCAGAGCCCAGCAAUUGGCCCACGCGCUAGAGUGACCAUCUGUGGUCAAACACGUUUGAAUUCUACCUGCUUAUUCGCCAGGUGCUUGACUGAAGACUGAUAUUAUGUCCAGAUUGAAAUGCCUACCUUGCAUCUCACAGCACAAAGGGAAUUCCUGGGUGUCUGAGUUUUUCCCCCUAAAGAAUUUCCACUGGCCCACUUUGUAUUUCUCAACAGCAAUUCAUAUAGACUUGGAAAGUGAUAAAAUAUGUGCAGCUGAGAGCCAGUGAUGAUCACAGACAGAGGAGAAAGAGAAAAGUAUAUACACGCAAAGAGACAGAAAUAAUCCGUUUGGGGGCAUUUUCACAAAAAGUUGCCUUUUAGAGAGGAAAUUGUACCUGAAUUUCCAGAGGUAAAGCAUUCACUUUGUAGAAUGCUUGGAAAACUGAAAUCCUCUCUCAUUUUUAUGACAAAAUUGGACUUGUAUUUCUCUAGUAACAAGUAUCGGACCCAGAAAGAUACAAAGAGUUCGGUAAGAAUGCAGCAAGACGUACCCUCCAAAAUCACACAUCUCAAGGUAAGGCUGACCAUCUUUUGCUGAUAAAAUAUUAAAAGUCCACUCCAACUAUGGUGCAGAAUAUGAAUGCAAAGCAGUUAGAGUUACUUUUAUAUCUGGCAUCAUAGCUAAGACGCUUUAAAAGAAAAGCAAUAUUAGAACAGAACAAAACAAUGGGACAGCAGAGUCACUUGGCUUCUAACAAGGUUUCUGCCUAAUAUUCUGUAAGAAGAGAAAAGACAACUUGCAUUGAUUGUGGAAGCUUCUGGAGUUUGGAAAUGAAUGGCUGAUCAGAGAUAGGCAGACACUCUGAUUCAAGAAGCAGAAAGAUAACUGGUAGGUUCUUUGGCCACAGACAGUUUCGCCACUGAGGAAGGACUGUUUAGACCAGCAUUGGCAGGGAACUGAGGUAGCAGUCAGAGCAAACAAGAUUGCAGCCAACGUCAGGGUACAGAUAGCAAUCGAAUACACUGGAAUUCAAAGCAGGUUGUUCAUAGGGCCUGUCUUCCUCAACAGGAAUAGAAGUUCCAUGUGGGCAGUGAUUUGACAUUUUGCUCAUGGCUGGAUCCCCAGCUUCUGCAACAGUUCCUGGCUCCUAGAUAGCUGAUGAGUGAAUGAACAUAAACUGAGUUUCAGAAGACAGAUUUGCCCAAGGAAAUUAAAUUCCACAGAUGUCUAAUGAGCACCUGAGCAGUGCCAUGCUAAGCGUCCUCAUGGGAUACAGAAGUCACUACAGAGUGGCAAUGGGGAUGCACCCUGAGGGGGUUUACUAAAUGCUGGAUGGUAGGAAAGGCAGGAACUGGGACCCAAAUGCUAGGCCUGGUCUUGGAAUUCAGUUCCCUGAGCUCCCCUGCCAACAGGAACUGCUUCAUCUGCCUUGUGUGCCCGGUGCCAGCUCAGGGCACUUCCAGCAGGUGCUCAACAGAAGCCUGUGAAUUGAUAAGCUGGCGAGAGGGAUCCAAUCCAGCUGGAGGAUCAGCAAGCUGGGGGGGAACAGUCAGGGACUCGGCCUGGCUUCCUUCCUCCAUCUCCAGCUCACUCACUUGAAUGGCCGGGGCCGGGCUAGAACCGAGACUGUCAGAGUGAAGCCUGGGAACUCAGGCCCCAGGGCCCUGGUUGGGACUUCCUGUAUCAAAAUCUUUUUUUUUUUUUUUUUUUUUUUUUUUUGUCUUUUUGCUAUUUCUUGGGCUGCUCCUGCGGCAUAGGGAGCUUCCCAGGCUAGGGGUCCAAUCGGAGCUGUAGCCCCUGGCCUACGCCAGAGCCACAGCAACACGGGAUCCGAGCCGCGUCUGCAACCUACACCACAGCUCAGGGCAACGCCCGAUCCUCAACCCACCGAGCAAGGGCAGGGAUCGGACCCACAACCUCAUGGUUCCUAGUCGGAUUCGUUAACCACUGCGCCACGACGGGAGCUCCUGUAUCAAAAUCUUGAGAGAGGCACCCAGACCGUAGCAUCAUAAACAAGUAUCCAGGUAAGUCUCCUGCACAUACCAAAGUUUGGAUUCUACUGAAGUAGGAUUUUGUAGACUAGUGAACAGAUCUAGUAUGAAUUCCUUCUCAAGUAUCCGCAUUCGUCACUGAAAUCCUAAGGGCACAGGACAUUGUUAUUUGGGGUGGUUCCCAUGGACCAGGGACUGUUCGAGAUGCUUUCACAUAUGAUAACUUAAUAUUCGAUCAUUCAAAGGGUAGUUUUAUCAUAUCUACUUUUAAGGAUGCGAGCUCAAGGAUAGCUAAGAACUUGCCUAAUAUUUGCACAGCAAGUACCAAGUGGCAAUCCAGAGCAGGUCUGUUCAAUUCCCGAGACCACAUGCUCCCCUGUGUCUUGCUACUUCUUGGGGAAAUGCAGAGUGGAGGGCACCCCGACCUUCCGUAGUAGCCGUUUUUUUAGGAAAUGGCCACAGACUCAGUUUCGGACUGGUUGACUCUAUCAUGAUGGAUUUCUGGGAAUCACAAUUUAAGCAUAUAUGCCUUAGGCCUAGGCAGAGAGUGUCUAAACCACCUACGACUUAAAUAAUCCUUAUAAAAAGGCCGAACCCCGGAUGAAGUGGUUCCUGUCUGGGGCAGGAAAUUCAGGGGCAGAGGCAGACAAGCACCUUAAGUGGGCAAGAGGGGAGGUGGAGGCUGUCACAUCUGACACUGGUCCCGCCUACAACCCCGCCCAGGGGGACAGGUCUUCUCAGAUUUCAAAGAGCAGCCAAAAGUCCAACUUUCCCUGGGAAAUACCCUGAUUUUUAAAUAUAGAUAAGGAGGUCAAAAGUUGAAAAUACACUUCAAAGGGCAAACAAACAGGUCUGGAAAACAAGGACCAGCCGAUGAGCUCCAGCCUACAAUCUCUGGUCUGGAGCUAACUCCCAGGAACUUAAGCAACACGGAGUAACUAGGGUAGUGUCCACUGAAGCGUAUGUCUUUGCACCCUAUUCACGUGAGGGUACAUCCUAUCACUAUUGCUGGUUUAAUUUGCUAAAGCAUGCAUCACAUCACCUUUGAUCUUAUUCAGGUUUAUGAGUUGUGGCUUGAAGGCCACAUUUUUAUAAACUGAAUUGGGCCUUUCUAUUAACGACUGGGAGGAUGCCUCAUUCUGGCACUGAGCAACUUACAAAUGAAUGAUUCCCUAGCCUUUCAGUUCAUUUCACAGGAAAAUAGAGUAAAUUCUCUGGGAAGAGACUUCAGUUUUCGUAAGCAACCCUCCUUCUUUAUAAAAACUAAUCGCAUUUGGAGAUUUCCUAAGACCUUGGUACUGAAGCAUCAAAGCUGCUGUGUUUCAGAGCAGAAAUUCUCUGGCGCGCAAUACAUACCUGAUAAUGUGUGAUUUACUAUAAAAGACACGCGUUCUAAACCAGGAAGUUGAGAACAACGAAUAGGGUUUUCAUCCCUAUUAUUUAAUGACAUGUAAUGUUAACAAGUAGAAUAACAAUGAACUAGCCAAUGAAUUGUUUUGUUUUGUUUUGUUUUAAACACUUCCACGGUCUAAAAAACACUUGACUCUCAGUAUUGGCAACACUUUAGGGAAGAUUUUCAUAUCCAUUUUACACACAGCAGGGUUAAAAAGAUAACCUCUCCCUCUGCUUUUCUUUUUGCAACGUGCACGCAUUUAUGUCGUGUUACCAAGUGAGGCAAUAUUAACCGACCAAAGCAGAAAUCAUCAUUAAAUCAACAUCACACAAUGUCACAAUGUCACCAGUCUCACCAGUCUAAUGAUGUUAAACGCAGGAUAGGCGCACAAGCAGCGGUGUGAACGGAUUAAAAUGGCACUUACAAGGAUGACCCGCAAAGAUUCCUAGUUUCAAGACCCAACAAAAGCCUCCAGGAAGUAGGCGGCAGGUUUUAGUCUCACUUAGUUUCACGGCUACGCUUUUUAACGGUAGUGUUCCACCGUAAAACAAAAGCGCACCACAGCAGCCUGGAGAAUUUUGGAGAAGAAAAGCCUCCUCUUUCCCGGAAGUCUAGCGGGGCCGAGUUGGCCGAGCGCGCGCCGCCGCCGCCGCCGCCGCCGCCACCGGGAGCGCCCCCGAGCCCCGCGCCCCGCGCCCGCCCGCCGGCCGCGUGCUGCAGCCGCCGCGGCCCGGGCGGGGCCAGGGGUGGGGGUGGGUUCGCUGGUUUGGAGGGUGGGUGGGGUUGGCUGUUUCUGGAAAGCUCAGCGGAGCUAAUCUAAUCUUCCAAGGCGCGUCCGCUGCCCGAGAGCAGCGCUCACAGUCCGCAGCGCCGGGAGGGCUCCGCGGCCUCCCCCUCCCGGUACCACCUCGCCCCUCCCCCACGCCGCCUACCUCCCUUCCCCCUCGGCCUCCAGUCGCCUCCCAUCCAGCAUCCCC